AUGUUAAUUACAGUUUUUUUAUUUAUUAACGGAGACGGGAGAUUCGAUCUUGCGCCUCUUCCAACAUUGUGAAAAGAUGCAAGAGCUCUAGUUGAUAUUGUGUAAACAGUAGUUAAGAUUGUGCUGUGUUUUCUGUUCUCAUGUCAUCUUGUUGCCUCUUAUAACAAAAGAGUCUUUAGCAAAGCCAACUAAAGUCCUCUAAACCAACUUUAGUUUAGGAGGGGAAUAGAAAAACGAACUCAUCUGUUAAUGAAGUUUGUUAGGGGGAGAAAUUAAAAGUUUUAACUUUUUUGUGAGAAGGUAAAAAAUUAAAAACAUCACAUAACUUGUCCAAAAAUAAAAGGUAAAAGGCCGCAAGCUUUCCACACCAAAAGACAAAAAAUAAGAGAAAAGAAAAUAAAUCGUGUCAUACUCAUACAUGCACAAAUUGGACUCAAUAUGUGGAUUUUGGCACUUGGUAAUUAAAAUUAAAGUUUUAUUUUAUUUUAUAGCAUUUUGAAGAAAUUCAAUCUUUCAUUGACUGGUAAUACUAAUAAGUAUUUAGACUAGCAUGUUUCGUUGUAGCUUGUUUAGCUACAAUGAACUUAUAUUUAUUACUUUCCUCUGAUGGUCAUUCAUGUUUGCUUUUCUGUUUCCUUUUUUCCUAGGCUCAUUUUUCCUUGUCUUAAUUAGGGUGCUCUGCAGGUCAGUGAUACUCACCCAUCUCUAAAAAAUAGCUGAGGUCAUGAGAGUGCUUGUUCGUGAAGAACAUUUGGGUUGGAAUAAAGCGUGGGACAUUGCUUGCAACUGGCUUGCGAGCAUAUGCAGCAGAUCCUGACCUUCAACAAGAAUGGAUGAUGGUUAAGAAGGUUAACAAAAUGAGGCUCGUUGAGUACAUUGAAGCAAUGAGUGGUGUGAAGGCUAGUUUAGAUGCAAUAUUUGAUGUGCAGAAAAAGCGAAUACACAAGUACAAAAACCAGCUGCUUAAUAUCUUGGCAUUAUCCAUCGAUAUGACUGUAUCGAGAUGAAUCUUAUUUUAUAUGGUGAAGAACUUUGUAUUCCAUAUUUUUGUAACUUAUUAACAAAGAACUACCUUAUGCCUUCUAAAGAGAGCUAUCACCAUCCUCCAGCAUUGUGCAUACCUAGUUCAUCUUCUUGUCACGGUAAAUUAAGAAGUUGGACAAUCAUUUGUAGAUUUUUCAAUGAGAUAUGAUGUGCAGUUGGAACCUUCUUCUCAUGUUUUUUGUAUUUUAGCCCCAAACCCUAAAAUAAUAUGACAAAAUUGUAUAUUUAAAAAGCAUAGCCGCGCGGCUAUACACUUCAAAUAAAUUCCACAAAGCUUGCACUCGUAGAGGACGGAACUUGCACUCGCAGUCACUGCUUCGUCCUCCGGGGUUCGGCACCGAGAAAAGACCCAACCCACCUGGCCGCCUAGCUCCCCCCUAGCGACCGCCUACCGCCCGCCUAGCCAAUUGACUGAAAGUUUGAAACCCGAAAUUGAAAAAAUUUAGCUGCAAAAUUGAGCUUGAGACUGGGAAGCCGAAGCAGCGAAGCACAAGUCAGGUCCAUAGAAGAACAGAUCAUGAGACUCUUAAUUCAUCUAAUUCCAUUCCUCUCCAUGUUUCCCGCCUUAUUCUCUUCUCUCUUGGCACUCUCCCAAACGACAUGUUCACCUCACCACACCAACGAAAACGACGACAAUUCCUCCCCUCUGCCAACUCCGCCUUAUUCUCUUCUCUCUUCGCAUUGACGACAUGGCGCACAAGAAAAAAGUACAAAAUUUCCUUCGUCGACUUGAUCAGUUUCAGUUUGGUAGGCAGUUCCAAGCACUUGGUCCGGUUAAUCAAACUGUGCUUAGCCCUAAUCAGCCUCCGAAACCAAUGCACUGCAUUGAAAUGUGGAAAGUCCUUUCGGUGAUAAGGAUGAUUUGUUUGGUGAUGGGACAAUUACGGCCUUGCUUGCUUUGAUGGACGAACGAAGAUGGGAGGACUUGGAAAUGGACUGCUUGGUCAAAGUGUUGGAGAAAGUUGGAAAGGAGUCACUGCUUUUGGAUGUCCCUUUUGUGUGCAAAUCGUGGUACAAGGCGACCCUCAAUCCUUCAUGCUGCGAAUGUAUUGAAGUCUGGCCUUGGGAUGUGUCUGAAUGUCCGAAUUUUCAAAAUCUUAUGGACAGAUUUGUGAGUGAGUAUCAAAUUGAUGGGGAUCGUUGCUCUGUCACCGCUUUUCUAAAGUUUGUGAUCAAUCGAACCUUUGAAUUUGCUGCAAAUGUGUCCUGGCCUUGUGACUUUGAGUUUACCAGGAGAUGCAUUGGACAGCAAACACACGAACCUAGAGCUGAUUGGCAAGUGGAAAAAUUUGGAGGUGUUAUCAUUGGGUUCAUGCUUUAAUUUGGCGAAAAUACUUGCAAUUAUACAAACACAUUGCAAGAAUUUUUAUGGUUUAACUUUGUCCAAAGGCUAAUUUUCAUGAACGUGAGGCAUCCUCAAUUGUGAAGUUGGUGCCUAAUAUCAAGUACUUAAAUGUGCAAAAGUUAGUCGGGAUAGUCUUGUCAUGUUGCUGUGCGGAUGCAAAGAUCUGGUGAUGUUGGACGCCAGAGAUUGUUCUGGUUUCAAUGAGAAUGACGAUGAAAUAUCAAAGCUUGCCUCUCAUAUUAGUAAAUUUAUGUGCGAGGGUUCUGAAUUUCCUGAAUUUCUUCGUGGUAUGGACAAUUUGGUUCUUCCUGUUGAUGGAUACUCAUUUCAUCAGCAUGUGGAGGAGAAUUGGGUUGAAAUGCUCAAUGAUUUGCACGAUGCGUUCAAUGAUUUGGGCGACGAGGAAUGAAUAACUAUUUGAUUGUACUAAGUGAUAUCUCAUUUUUUUUAUAUUUACAAUACUAAUGAGCAAUUAUGUGUGUUGAGCGUGGUGCGGCGUUCAUCUUGCGUUUUUGGACUUUGUUACUCUAAUGAGGGCUUGUUAUAAGUUCCUAUCUUGAUUUCGUAAGAUGUUUGCUUAAUUUGGAAAAUGGCCGUUCUAAAUUCCUUCGCUA